rnacentral:rRNA from 1 species
UACGUAGGGUGCGAGCGUUGUCCGGAAUUACUGGGCGUAAAGAGCUUGUAGGCGGUCUGUCGCGUCUGCUGUGAAAAUCCGGGGCUCAACCCCGGACUUGCAGUGGGUACGGGCAGACUAGAGUGUGGUAGGGGAGACUGGAAUUCCUGGUGUAGCGGUGAAAUGCGCAGAUAUCAGGAGGAACACCGAUGGCGAAGGCAGGUCUCUGGGCCACUACUGACGCUGAGAAAGCGGAAAGCAUGGGGAGCGAACAGG